rnacentral:tRNA from 1 species
GCGCUCAUAGUUUAAAGGUAGAACUACAGCCUUCCAAGCUGUUAGUGUCGGUUCGAUUCCGACUGGGCGCU